UACGUAGGGGGCAAGCGUUGUCCGGAAUCAUUGGGCGUAAAGCGCGUGUAGGCGGCUCGGUAAGUCCGCUCUGAAAGCCCGGGGCUUAACCCCGGGAGGCGGGUGGAUACUGCUGAGCUUGAGUCCGGAAGAGGCGAGUGGAAUUCCCGGUGUAGCGGUGAAAUGCGCAGAUAUCGGGAGGAACACCAAUGGCGAAGGCAGCUCGCUGGGACGUGACUGACGCUGAGACGCGAAAGCGUGGGGAGCAAACAGGG
rnacentral:rRNA from 1 species